rnacentral:rRNA from 1 species
CACAUUGGGACUGAGAUACGGCCCAGACUCCUACGGGAGGCAGCAGUGGGGAAUAUUGCGCAAUGGGGGAAACCCUGACGCAGCAACGCCGCGUGAAGGAAGAAGGCCUUCGGGUUGUAAACUUUUUUGAUUGGGGAAGAAAAAAAUGACGGUACCCAAGGAACAAGCCACGGCUAACUACGUGCCAGCAGCCGCGGUAAUACGUAGGUGGCGAGCGUUGUCCGGAAUUACUGGGUGUAAAGGGCGUGUAGGCGGGAUUGUAAGUCAGAUGUGAAAUUCCAGGGCUUAACUCUGGAGGUGCAUCUGAAACUAUAAUUCUUGAGUGCUGGAGAGGAAAGCGGAAUUCCUAGUGUAGCGGUGAAAUGCGUAGAUAUUAGGAAGAACACCAGUGGCGAAGGCGGCUUUCUGGACAGUAACUGACGCUGAGGCGCGAAAGCGUGGGGAGCAAACAGGAUUAGAUACCCUGGUAGUCCACGCUGUAAACGAUGGAUACUAGGUGUAGGAGGUAUCGACCCCUUCUGUGCCGGAGUUAACACAAUAAGUAUCCCACCUGGGGAGUACGGCCGCAAGGCUGAAACUCAAAGGAAUUGACGGGGGCCCGCACAAGCAGUGGAGUAUGUGGUUUAAUUCGAAGCAACGCGAAGAACCUUACCAGGGCUUGACAUCCCUCGGAUAACAUAGAGAUAUGUUAGUCCUUCGGGACGAGGAGACAGGUGGUGCAUGGUUGUCGUCAGCUCGUGUCGUGAGAUGUUGGGUUAAGUCCCGCAACGAGCGCAACCCCUAUUGUUAGUUGCCAUCAUUAAGUUGGGCACUCUAACGAGACUGCCGGUGACAAAUCGGAGGAAGGUGGGGACGACGUCAAAUCAUCAUGCCCCUUAUGUCCUGGGCUACACACGUACUACAAUGGUCACUACAAAGGGAAGCAAUCCCGCAAGGAGGAGCAAAUCCCCAAAAGUGAUCUCAGUUCGGAUUGUGGGCUGAAACCCGCCCACAUGAAGUCGGAAUUGCUAGUAAUGGCAGGUCAGCAUACUGUCGUGAAUACGUUCCCGGGCCUUGUACACACCGCCCGUCACACCAUGAGAGUUUGCAACACCCGAAGUCAGUAGCUUAACCGUAAGGAGGGCGC